AUUGAACGCUGGCGGCAUGCCUUACACAUGCAAGUCGAACGGCAGCACGGGUGCUUGCACCUGGUGGCGAGUGGCGAACGGGUGAGUAAUAUAUCGGAACGUACCUUAUUGUGGGGGAUAACGCAGCGAAAGCUGUGCUAAUACCGCAUAAUCCCUAAGGGGGAAAGCGGGGGACCGUAAGGCCUCGCGCAAUUAGAGCGGCCGAUACCUGAUUAGCUAGUUGGUGAGGUAAAGGCUCACCAAGGCAACGAUCAGUAGCUGGUCUGAGAGGACGAUCAGCCACACUGGGACUGAGACACGGCCCAGACUCCUACGGGAGGCAGCAGUGGGGAAUUUUGGACAAUGGGGGCAACCCUGAUCCAGCAAUGCCGCGUGAGUGAAGAAGGCCUUCGGGUUGUAAAGCUCUUUUGUCAGGGAAGAAACAGCAGCUCUAACACAGUAUGCGAAUGACGGUACCUGAAGAAUAAGCACCGACUAACUACGUGCCAGCCGCCGCAGUAACAC
rnacentral:rRNA from 1 species